GCGCGGUACGAUUGUUGGAUUCGAGAAGAUUCACUGAAGCAAGGGACACCAUGGAUUGAGGACGGAAUCAAGGUCCAGCAAGAAACAACCAAUGAAUUCGCCGGCAAAGACGACCGGCGCAACGACGAUGUUAAUGGAAGUUCGUCUCAGGUGUGGGUAGUGAAGUUCGUUAGAUGAUGUAGAGAGUGAAGAAAUUGGGGUGGUGAUUAGUGAGAUUGUGAAAGGGUGUCGAGAGAGUUGAAGAAAGAGAUCGAAGAGACUCUUUUUGCAGGUUUUGUGUGUGAUUGUUACAGGGUGAUGGCGAGGGAACUGAAACUCAGUAGUGAUUCCAUUGAAGAGUUGGUUGAAGGUUUGUUAGAGAUGCGAUGAGGAUUGGAGAAGAAAGUGGAGGAAGAGGGAGUUCUGGAAGUUUGGUUAGAGAUACGAUGAGGUUGAAGAAGAAGAAGCUGGAAGAUGAGAAGAAGAUUGAUUUUAUAGGGUGAUGAUAUUGAUUUUUCUGUUAUGGAUUGGUUAUUAUGCAGGUUGUAGGGCGAAAUUGGUUUGUUGCAGAGUACUCAUGAUGCUCUUCCAUUUUGCUGCAUUUUUUAUUUCGCUUUGCUUCAGUUGGUGUAUGCUGCAACUUCAAAUUGCGUUGCCGUUUUGGACUGCCGUGACUUGCGUUUCAAUUUGGCUUGUUUAAGUUGCAGCUUCCGUGGCUCACACUUGUUUUCACGCUUUUCCCACUGUAGCUUGCCUCUGCUGCACAUUCGGUUCUUUUUGUUUUAUUAAAAAAAGAUAAAAGAGAUGGUGAAUCGGACACGGUGUGUUAGAUAAAGGGGUUAGGAUUAUUUAAAUGGAUAACUGUUUAAUGUG